GAUGAACGCUGGCGGCGUGCCUAAUACAUGCAAGUCGAGCGAACGGACGAGAAGCUUGCUUCUCUGAUGUUAGCGGCGGACGGGUGAGUAACACGUGGAUAACCUACCUAUAAGACUGGGAUAACUUCGGGAAACCGGAGCUAAUACCGGAUGAUAUUUUGAACCGCAUGGUUCAAAAGUGAAAGACGGUCUUGCUGUCACUUAUAGAUGGAUCCGCGCUGCAUUAGCUAGUUGGUAAGGUAACGGCUUACCAAGGCAACGAUGCAUAGCCGACCUGAGAGGGGGAUCGGCCACACGGGAGCUGAGACACGGUCCAGAGUCCUACGGGAGGCAGCAGUAGGGAAUCGUCCGCAGUAGGCGAAAGCAUGACGGAGCAACGCCGCGCGAGAGAUGAAGGUCUUCGGAGCGUAAAACUCUGUUAUUAGGGAAGAACAUAUGUGUAAGUAACUGAGCACAGCUUGACGGUACCUAAUCAGAAAGCAACGGCUAACUACGUG
rnacentral:rRNA from 1 species